GGGGCUAUGGCGCAGUUGGUCAGCGCGCCUGCUUAUGGCCGUUAGCGGUUAUAGGCAGGAGGUCACGGGUUCGAGUCCCGUUAGCCUCC
rnacentral:tRNA from 1 species